rfam:Schistosoma mattheei strain Denwood, Zambia genome assembly, scaffold: SMTD_scaffold0006849
GCACUGCUGAGGAGUCUCGCAAUAAGACGAAACGGCCGUCCAGUGC